rnacentral:lncRNA from 1 species
GCUACCAUAGUGAUUGUGGUUGUCCAAUCCUGUCCCUGGUUCGUUCAAUUACACAACAUUUACAGCUGUGUAAUCAUUACACUAAUUUGACAUGUAAUCAUUGUCCCAAGUGAUAGCCAAUACAACACCCCAAGCACACACUAUCCAAUCAAGUUAGUUUACUUAAAAGGAUGGCUCACACAACUUCACUUUAUGCAUUCUCUUAUUACAGAAGGGAAAAGGCACCAAACCACGACAUCUUCGAGUUGAUUACAAUGCCUCUAAGUCUUUGAUAAGUCGAAGAGGAUGAGACUAAACAGGUAUGUGUUUCAAUAUUUAAAAAAAAUAAAAAUAAACUUUUGAUCACUCUACCAGUAGUUCUUACUUCAAUGGCCAAAUGGUUAGACCUUGUAAAACACGUCUAGAAACUGGCUUGAUUUCUUUUGGACUGAUGUCUAAGUUCCUUUUUUUUAACCUAAUGAGUACCAACCAAAUGGCAUAUAGUAUAGUCUUCUGACACUUUUCCAGCUAUGAUGAUAUUAAGAAUUUCCUGACUUGGUAUUGACACUCAAGGGUGUUGUUGACCAAGGUGUGAUUGCUUGUAAUCUUCUCUCUGAGCUGUUAUAUCCAAAUGAGCUGUUUGACUUUCUGCAAAUUCCCAAAUGUUUAAUCACAUCCUGUUGAGUUACUUGUUUUUCUAUUUAUUAAACUCACAGGGGGCUAUUCAGGACUUAACCAGUUCACCAGUAACUUGGCAACUGACGAUGCCUUUGCGGUUUACUGAAGCAAUCCACUGGGACCUUGCAGGCUUCAAAUAGCUUUUGGCCUUUGGAGAAGAUCAUGUUAAAGAAGCUCUGACGAAGGCCUUGAGGCAGAUUAUUAAUAAAAAGCGUGAUACUAAAGCGAGCGGUGUUAUGUUAUUCAAUUGGUAAUAUGCAACAAAGAUGGCUCAAAUGGGGAAGUGUCUUUUGAAUUUGGGAAAGAUGGUGUUCAAAUUCAUUGGAUUGAUCACAUCUCACAAUCUAAAUUUUAAGGGAGUAUAUUGCAUUGGAAGCCUAAUUUGAAGAUUAUACUUGUCAUGUAGUAAACUGGACUUGUUCAAAACAGACAUUACUGCAUUGAAGAGGAACUGCCCCCUAAUAAUCCAAAUCCUUUUGAAAAUAGCCUGUGGUAUCAUUUUAUUCUAGUGUCAAUUGACAUAAGUGAGAUUACUUUGGUUAUCGUAAACUAAGUUUGACACCUCUGUCACAAGGAGUAAAGUUAGGGCUGGGUUUGUAUUACAUUUGUCAAAUCAUGCCCCCCUUAGACUUGCUGUGCAAAUUGCCCAUGUUACUUAGCUAUGAGAAACUAGCCACAAAGAUUACCGAUGGACUACAGUUAAAAUAAAG